GAUAAACAAAGUCAUGGUUUUAUACGCCACUGAUUGAAUGCCAGCUUUAAAAUUACAUUGCGAAAUGUCGUACGAGUAAAAUAUUUGCACGAUAUUAACUCAUGGGGCACUUCUGACCAAUGGGAAUUUUGCGUACGCUCCGUACGCAUAAAUCGACUUUUUACUAAUAAAGGUCGCAGGCCGUACCUCCCAUGCAGCCUCUGCCUGACAACGGCCUGCGAGCAGGCUAUAUUUCAGCCAUACCCGAGAACCGCAGAAUCGACCCGAGAAACGCGCAUUAUAUGGCAGAGUCUUGAUUACAUUUUGUCAACCAUCGAUCUCACCCCCCCCCGUCGCGCACCACUAAAUAUCCUUUACUAUCCCUACAAAUCCUAAAUAAUUCAGACUCUGCGGAGGAGAGUGGGGUAGGAAUAUGAAUAUUCAUAGUAAGAAUAUGAAUAUUUGAAAUAGAAUUGGAAUGAAUAUUUUCUUACACCCCAGGUAUUUCACGAAUAUUGAAGGUUGCAGGUGUCCAGGGAUCCUGGGGGGAACUUGGUCCCACAAAAUUUUUGCGCAAGGAGGUUAGCCCCCCUAGCCUCUCUUUUUUCAACACUGUGAGCUCUUUUCUAUCUAUAAGUAGCUCCGUCAACUCUUGAGUUUAAUUAUGCUUUAUUUGCUGGCUAUUAUAGCGCGUUGAGCUCUUCAGCAAAUCAUUCGAACUAACAAAAAACCGAACAUGAAACAAAUUUUUUCAAUAUUUUUGCUGUAAACGUUUUCCAAUUUUGCGACAGAAAGUGCAGGAAAUGGUAUAAGAUCAUCAAACCUUUAACACAACUGAUGCAUGAUUUCAAUGGUUCGUCGGGUGAACCGAACUUUUAUUUUAAAACAGCCAUAAGAUUGAUUCUACUGGACCAAUUUUAAUAGUCUUGGUGUCAAAAUUCAUCUCAUGGAUUAGACUUUUCGUUGCCCGCUAAUAAAUUGCUAUUGCAAUUUUGUCGGGACACCCUUAGUAAUGAGAAUAAACUUACCAUUUUGCUCCGUAGUUCACGAGCUAACAAGGUUGACCAAUGUCGCUGAUAAAUCCAAUGAUAAAAUCUCACUGAAACUAUUGAGUCCAGCGUUGACCGUACAGUUGAAUAUAAACCUUUGUGGAGAACUUCUGCACAUCAGAAAAGAUUUGAAUUGAGUGGCCGUCGAAAAAUUUUCCGCAAAGGUUUAUAUUCAACGCCGCGGUCACUACUGACCCCCACAUGGUACAAAGUAGCAAAUGAAUUGCACUUCUCACAUCAUGUGAAGCAUACGGCAGCAUGAGAGAAAACUUUUUCAACAGCCUACAAAAUGUUCUGCCAAAGAGAACAAAAUUUAUCAGAAUAAUAAAAUCAAACGAAAAUGAAAGGAUUUUAUUAUCAAAGUUUGUUAUACUCUUGUUUUACCGAAAGACAUAAACGCCUUGAAAGCAGGAAUGUCGAUGAUUAACUAAUUUGCAUAAGCGUACGGGAGGGGAAAAUUAGGGGGGAGGGGCAGAAAGAAAUCUACCUGACUUUUUCCCAUUGUGUCAGACUUACCAAAAACAAUUUUCCGUGUAAACUUUCCAAAAUUGUUGUCGACAGGGGGGGGUCGGCAUCUGUUACAAUUUCUCAUAACUUUUGUAUAUUUCUUGCAUUUUCAACUAUUAUAGCGCAUAUUUUUUCUUUUUAAAGUUAUUUGCCUCAUCUUUUUGCCUUACUUAGGUUUAUAAUUUGCUCAACUUCAUUUUGACUGGAGGGCGGCUGCCCCUGCCCGGUAAGCCUAUGCUAAUAUCAGUCUAUUUCCACACUAUUUAAUUUAGUUUUAUAUUUUUUGUGAAUAGCACGUUGUAGUUAUAGUCGAUAGUUGAUAGCACAUAUGUAAAGCCUUAGCAAUCUCUGUACGUAAGGUCAUGCCCAUAAAGCAAAUAAAUACAAUAUAAAUACAGAUCUGUUUUGGACUGGGCUGCAAAGCCUCUAAUAGCAUUUAAUAACUGUCCUGAAGAAAUGUCCCACCAAAAUGAAUUAAAUUUUAACAGUUAUAUAGUCUUUGCGGGGUGGUUAACUCAAUCUUUCAAAAAAACUAAUUGCUAUUUUUGUCCGACAAAAUGUCCGACCAAUUUACCAUUUGAUCGGAAAACUGUAUUUGCAUGGUCGGAAAAUGUCCGAUGUCCGAG
rnacentral:lncRNA from 1 species